rnacentral:rRNA from 1 species
GACGAACGCUGGCGGCGUGCUUAACACAUGCAAGUCGAACGGAAAGGCCCUGCUUUUGUGGGGUGCUCGAGUGGCGAACGGGUGAGUAACACGUGAGUAACCUGCCCUUGACUUUGGGAUAACUUCAGGAAACUGGGGCUAAUACCGGAUAGGAGCUCCUGCUGCAUGGUGGGGGUUGGAAAGUUUCGGCGGUUGGGGAUGGACGCGCGGCUUAUCAGCUUGUUGGUGGGGUAGUGGCUUACCAAGGCUUUGACGGGUAGCCGGCCUGAGAGGGUGACCGGCCACAUUGGGACUGCGAUACGGCCCAGACUCGUACGGGAGGCAGCAGUGGGGAAUAUUGCACAGUGGGCGGAAGCCUGAUGCAGCAACGCCGCGUGCGGGAUGACGGCCUUCGGGUUGUAAACCGCUUUCGCCUGUGACGAAGCGUGAGUGACGGUAAUGGGUAAAGAAGCACCGGCUAACUACGUG